rnacentral:lncRNA from 1 species
UAUCUUUUCAAUCCUAUUGUUAUGAGGAUUGAUUGUGCUGGAACAUUGAGAGGUUCUGGAAUCUCAGUUCAUCUUUCAGGCCAAAGUGACUGACAACCAUCCAGAGACUCAUCCAGACAGACAAGAGAACUCUAAUCUUUUCUUGGUAAGAGCAUCCUCAUCAAGGAUGAGGAUGUAAAUGCAUGAAAAUUACAACUUUCUGAAAGAAGUCCAACCACAUGUGGAAGAUAAUAAAAAUCUAGAAGAAGAUUAUUUUUAUGACACCAUGGCCUAUUACUAUGGAAAAUAUGAUAAGGGGAUUCAUCUCCAUGAAACAGCGGCAUUUUUGGUUUCAGCACAAGGCAUGGGAAAAUUGAGGUCUGUGAAGACCUGGAAAGCCUAGAAGCAGGCUAAAUAGGAGUCUCUCCAUUCUACCUACAAAUGCAACUGGCUGGACUGGUCACCUACAGUGGCUGCUGUGUGCACAGGGUCCAGGUUCCAGGACACAACUUUUUAAUAGUUAAAGGUACAAAAUUGGCUUUAUUGCAGAAAUUCAGUUUUUAAAUACUGGGAUUAAGUAUUUAAAAAUGUGUUUUCACUGUUAUCCCAAGUUCUCUAAGCCUUUGAGGAUAUAUACACUUUCUAAAAACAUGCAAAAAAGGUAGUGAGUGUUAAUUUUAAUCCCCAACCUCUUGAAUAAAUGGAGUUCUCUAACAUUUCACCUAGCUCAAUGUUCACUGUGAUCCAGCUUUCUCUUCUUAAGUAGAUUUUCGCCCAUAUACAUUCUAUAUUUUUCUUUGCUCAAUUUCAUCCCACUUCUCUUUUUUAUGCCCAAUUGGCUUUCCUGUAAAACUCUGCUACCAUUUUAGUAAAUUAUUAGAAUAUGCUGGGCUAAAGCCCAAGGUCUGAGCUAAAGAAACACUUGCAAAGGUUUUCUCAAGCUUGAAUCAAAAUCUACAAAAUAUCAAGCUUACUUAAUCACAUAAAUAUGUUGAAAAGAUUAGAAGAGAAUUUUUAUCCUAAAAUGACAAACUGAGAGUUUGACAAAUAUAGAUACACACACACACACACACACACACACACUCCAAGGAGUUCUACCACUUAAAAGGCAGCAAAUGUGUUAAUGCAAUACAUCAUUAAAGAUAAUACUGCAGAGUAAUACACAAACUAAGCCAGAUUUUAAACUAAGUCUCUGAGGAUCCCUGACCUGGAAAAUCCUUUGGAUCAGUGUUGUGGAUAUACC